AUGGUGUCUGAGAAGUGGGUUUUCACAAUUCUGCUACCUCAGCUCUGCUGUGCUGGCUGUGGAUUCUGUGAGAAGGUACUGGGGCAGCACUGUAACAUCAGCCAUUGGCUUAAUGUCAACAAUAUUUUGGAGGAACUCAUAGAGAGGGGUCACCAGGUAACAGUGUUGACUCACACACACAGGCUUUUUCAUUGACUAUGGGAAGCCUUCUGCAUUGAACUUUGAGGUGGUCCAAGUGCCACAUGACAAAGUGAAUUUUGACAAUGUACAUAAUGAAUUUCUGGACCUAGUCCUGAAUGUCUUGUCAAGCUUGACCUCCUGGCAGUCAGCAAAAGAACUGAAUAAUUUUUCUGAAUCUAGAGAAAUUUUUAAAACUCUGUGUGAGAGUUUUGCCUACAAUCAGACACUCUUGAAGAUGCAAGAGGAACCCAACUAAACUGUAGUGCUUAUAGACUCUGCCAUUCCCUGUGGGGAGUUUAUUGCUGAGUUGCUUGCAGUUCCUUUUGUGCUCAAACUUAGAGCUUCUGUAGGUGGCAAUAUUGAGUGAAGCUCUGGGAAACUUCCACCUCCACCUUCCUAUGUAUCUGUGCCUAUGACAGGACUAACGGACAUAAAGACCUUUCUGGAAAGAGUAAAAAAUACAAUGCUGUCCAUCUUUUUUAACUUGUGGCUCCACGAUUUUAACUUUUGGAUUUUGGAACAGUUUUUGGGACAGUUUUUCAGGAAAGAAUUAA
rnacentral:lncRNA from 1 species